GCAGAUUGCGAACCCUCCCGAGAAGUGAAGAAACAGACGUCGUCGUUCCCGACUCGAUCCACGACCAGCAGCUCCACGUCAGGCGAGCAGCAGGAAGAGAUGUAAGAAACCAUCGUGAUGUUCUCGUUGCCGGCGGCCGGGCUGGUGGUCAGCUUCCCGGUGCCCCGUUUGAGGCUGACGCGGUCCACACCGGUCCCCUGAGCUCCGUCGGUCACCCGGACACGGAGGUCCCACAUCGCUGCGCUGCAGUUCUCAGAACAGUUGGACUGCAGGUUGAUCAGCUGACACGCCGGCUGGAUGAAAUCUGUUAUCUACGAGGAGACAGAAAGUGAUGGUACUCACAGAAAUGGUCAUAUUAGAGGCUCUGAGGCUGAUGGAUGACUGCCUUUGAAAGACUAUUGAUGAACCACUGGAGGUACUGCCGUCAUCCCGCCCCUUCACCCGCACCCCAAACUCCACUGACGGCAUCCUGACAAAAUGAACCAAGAAGUGUCCAUUCCCCUGAGGCUCCACGGUUCCUGUAGUUACCUCCGAAUCAGACGAAUCAAUCAGAUCGACUUCUGUCACAGUCGCUGUGUCGCUACCCGAUAAAGACACCAGUAAGCUGCCGUUUACACCUUUAAAGACAGAGGAAAUUAAUCAUGUCUGCCUUGGUAAUGCUGGGUUAAUUCAUCACGUUGACUAGUUUUGAUUUCCAUUACCAACGUGGGGACGUGUCUCCAGAACAUCAUAUCCUGAGAACGGGCCCUGAGAUGGCACCACAAAGUCAAACAGGAAGUCAAUAGGACUCUGACCUGCAAACAAAAAGUCAGGAGAAAAGAAAAGGUUAAGUGUUGGACAAUUUGAGAUUUUAAUAUUAUCCGAAUUAGAAUCCACACAAUCAUGGCUAGACGUGGGAAGAACUCAAACUUGUUUUUGUGCAGAAUUACAGUUCAGUACAGUUCAAUGUUUUUAACAGGAUCUGGUUUUUCCAAAUGGUUUAUUUCUCACAAUGUUUUAAAUGUAGAAUAAAGUGAUUUUUUUUU